GACCUUCAUUGUAUAAGCAUGCUCUGCAAAAUUAGAAGAUAAAUAUUACAUCGUGAGCAUGUUAGAUUUCUUUGUUAGUUGAGGAGUGAAGUGUACCUGGUGCAACGUAUCCGACUGUGCCUGCAAGUUUGCUCUGAUUUGAUGAGUCUACCUUAAGAAGCUUGGCAGUGCCCAAGUUAGAAAUAUGAGCCUCAUAUUGAGAAUCCAGCAGAAUAUUGUUGCUCGAUAUAUCCCGAUGAACAAUCGGGGGUGAGCAAUCAUGGUGCAUGUAAGACAAAGCGUGAGCCACUCCUUUGAUGAUCUUGACCCUUGUAGCCCAACCCAAUUUUUUAGCUUCUUCUCUGCUCAAGAUUGUAGCCAAGCUACCUCUUUCAAGGUACUCAUAGACCAAAAAGGAGUGUCGUGGAUAUGAACAGAAACCAAGAAGUCUCACAAUGUUUCGAUGCUUGAUCUCUGUCAUUGCCCUUACUUUAUUCAAGAAAUCCUUUUGAUUUGCCAUAUCCAUGUCGGAUGGGUGAAGCUUCUUCACAGCUACUAUAUUACCUGAUGGCAGCUCUGCUUUGUAAACGCUUCCAUGCCCUCCCUUUCCGAUGCAAUACAUGGGAUCAAAGUCCUUGGUGGCCUUUAUAAUCUCUUCAUACAUUGCUCUUCCAUCAAAAGUUGAUAUUGAGAGGAGAUUAUUCUGUACAUCACCUUCUUCGAUUUCUGGAGUUCUCUCUCUUCUUUCAGCAAUCAAGAAAAUCCCAAUGAAAGCAGAAAGAAGUACAAGUGCUCCCAAAAGAGGGAAUAUGAUAAUAAACACAACUUUGUGGCUCUUUUUGACAGGUUGUUGGUCUACUCCAAAACCAUAUUUGCAAGGUUGCAACCCUUUAACAUUGCCGCACAAAUCUUUGUUCCCCUUUAGCACCUCAAUGGUAGCAUUUCGAAAUGCAUUGCUGUGAGGAAUGGGACCCUGCAACUGAUUGUAGGAAAUGUCAACAUACGACAAGGCAGGCAUGUCCUCAAAAGCCUUUGGGAUGAAACCACAAAGGUUGUUAUGGGAGAGAUCAAGCAUCUCCAAACUCUCCAAACCUUGGAUCUGUGCCGGGAUGCCACCUGUAAGCAAGUUGUGACUCAGAUCUAGCUGGGAGAGGUGACUCAGCUUACCCAUCUGAACCGGAAUUCCGUGGCUGAGUUUGUUAUUGCUCAGGUUCAAGUAAUGCAAGUCCAAGCAGUCGCCCAAGUGCUCUGGUAUUGACCCAUUCAAUCUAUUGGCUGAAAGGUCUAGAUACUCAAGGUGGGACAGCGAUCCAAGUUCAGGAGGAAUACUCCCGGAAAGUUGGUUGUCAUUCAAUAUCAGCCCCAACAGAGAAGUCAAACUUCCCAUUUUCUUUGGAAUUUCCCCAACCAAAUGAUUUGAAGAAAGAUCAAGCAAGAUUAGAUUAGUUGAGAUUCCAAAAUCUUCUGGUAUGCUCCCUGUAAUAUUGUUCCCGGCAAUCUCCAGCCUUUGUAGUUGUGGGCAUCUUCCCCAGUUAUGAGAGAGUUCACCAUGAAACCUGUUGUAGCUCAAAUCGAUGAAUUCCAGGUUUGGACAGUCACCAACUACCUCAGAUACAUUUCCAGUGAGUCGGUUUCCCUGGAACAGAGCUCUGGUUAAGUUUCUGCAAUUUUUCAAGCUUUUGGGGAUGGGACCACUGAGAUGGUUGUCACUCACUGUAAAGCGCUCCAGAGAUCCACCUUGGCAAAUGCCUUCCGGUAAAGAGCCAAACAGCUGGUUUGUGUCGAUUUCUAGCACAACCAACUUAUGAAGUUUCCCAAUUUCUUGAGGAAAGUAACCAGAAAGACGGUUAUCACGGAGGAAUAAAAUUUCUAAGUUGGUUAGAUUACCCAGUGAAGUAGGAAUGGAACCAUUGAGUUGAUUUUCUGAAAGUUCUAGAUCAACAAGAGACUUCAAGUUACCUAUUUCUUGAGGAAUGGGACCGGAAAGUUGAUUGGCAUAGAGAUGCAGGAGGGUUAGGCCACUCAGAUCACAUAAUGACACAGGGAUUGGGCCUGAAAGAUUGUUUCCGUAGAGGCUUAGACCUUGCAGGGAUUUCAAAUUUCCUAUUUCUGGUGGGAUAGGCCCAGAGAGGCUAUUGUUGAACAAGUACAACACGGUUAAAUGUUUCAAAUUUCCAAAAGUGGAAGGGAUGGGACCUGUGAGAUUGUUGGUAUCCGAGUAUAGCUGAACAAGGUUGGUGAGAUUUCCCAUUUCUGGAGGAAUGGAACCCGAAAGUUGAUUUUCAUAGAGAUACAAAGAGGCCAAGUUGCUCAAAUUACCCAAAGAAGCAGGAAUAGAACCCUCCAGUUGGUUGGUGUACAAAGCAAGCUCAUAAAGAGACGUCAACUGACCUAUUUCAUGAGGAAUUGAACCAUUCAACUGAUUUUGAACCAGGUGUAAGACCUCAAGAUUAGUUAAUAGGCCGAUCUCGGGCGGAAUCCCUCCUGAGAACUGGUUGAUAGAGAGAUCAAGGUAUUUGAGCUUGGAGAGGAGACCGAUUUGGGGUGGGAUAGGACCAGAGAGGUUGUUCAUGCUGAUAUCAACAUACGCAAGAUUGGGAAAAGAUGAGAAUGAGAAGGCUUGGAGCGUACCUCCUAAACCCGACUCUGUGAGGUUUAUUCUGAUGACGCUCCCUGCAUGGUUGCAGGAUAUUCCGUACCAUUUGCAUGGACUGACUUCUGUUCCAAGGUGGGUAGAAGAAUUGGUGAAGUUGUUAGGAUAAAGAGUCCACGAAAGGAGGGAAGAAUGGUUAUGGUUGUGAAGGGUAGCUUUCCAUUUGAGGAGAGCUUGUGUUUCUUCAUUAGAAUAAGAAGAAACAUGGUCUGAAGAAAUCAACAUAACCAAGAGGAGCAAGGAAACAAGGGAGAGCAUUUUCUGUAAGGUUGAGGGUGCCAUGGUUUUGGUUGAUGAAUUGCAUAUGCUGCUUCACAACUUCAUUUAUACACAUUUGGUUCCUUUGUUCGUCCCACUCGGAAACUUCCUUGUUCACACUUCACACCAAUUAAAAUUCAGCCCUUUAAUGUCAAGAUUGAGGUCUUUUAAAGCAUGGCUCCCUUUUUCUUUCUUUUUGCCUGGGGUUCCCUUUCUACUAGCAUGGUGGUCUUCCUAUAUCUUUGUGGUCGUCGAAGUCUUCUCCGGUCUCUUUCAAAAUGAAUAAUGACGAUGAAGGUUGGUUGGAGACUAACGCUCUCUUUGACAAUUAUUUUGGACAACAGAGCAGGUUUAGUAAUAAAAAAAUUAUUUUUUAUUUUUUAUUCUUAAACACAGAAAAUGAUAUGUUUUUUAGGGACUUUUUUUUUAAUUAUCAUCAAUUAUUUUGAUUUGUUUUUUAAAAAUUAUUUUAAAAAAUAACUAUAAAAAAUGGAGAAUAAUUAAAAAAAAUGGACAAAAAUUUUAUUUUUAAAAAUAUUUAAAAACAUUAAAUAUGUGAUAAAAAUAUUUAAGAUUUCUAAAUACAUUUUUAUUUUACCAUUCAUCAAAGAACUGCCGUUAAAAACUGUUAUAAAAAAAUAGUUGUUAAAGAUAACUUAAUUUUAUUUGAAUCUUUGUUUUUAUCUUUACGAUGAUCUUCUUCUUUUACUCUUUGUAAAAGAAAACCGAACUUGAAAAUUUGUUUCAGUUAAGUAAUUAUAAAAGAAAAUUUUAGUCUACUUAAUAACUAAGUUGAUUUAUUAAAACUUAAUAAUUAAUAUUUACCCUAGGCUUGGUUUUUAGAAAAUUUUAAAUGAAUUGAAUAUGAAAAAAAAAUGAAGUUUUAAAAAGAAAAAAACAAAAUUUAAGUUAAUAAAUUAUUUUUAUAUGUUUUUAAAUUUUAUUUGAAUGAUUUAUUUUUAUAUAAAGAAUAAAUAAUUUAAAAAUGCUUAAAUUUUUAAAUGAUUUUAAUUAUAUUUAAUUUAUUUAUUUUUAUGUAUUUUACAUUUUAAUAUUUAUUAUAAUAUGAAAUAUCAUAUGUUUAUUAUUAUUUGAAAUUGCUUUACAAUUUAUAAUUUAAUAGGAAAUUUUAAUUUAUUUAUUGAUAGUAUUCAUAAUUAAACUAUUUAAAACUUAUAAAUAAAAAAUAGUAUAUUAUAUAAUUAAAACAAUUUGUAUAGAUUAAAAUACUGUAGUAAUGAUAUAUAUUAGUAUUUUACUGUGUAUUUUAUACUUAUUUUUCAGUUAAUUUAAUUUUAAUUUUAAUUUUUAAUUUUUAAUUUUAAUUAAAACAAUUUAACUUUAAUUUUUUAAUUAUUAUUUUUUUAACUUUUAAGUAAUAUAAAAAAAAUUAAAGAAAAAUAAAAGGAAAUGGAUAAGAAAAGUAAAUCCGUGAUUCGGCCCAUUCCAGUCCACAGUUACCGCCGACGACACCGACGUCAGUCAACCGGCAACCGCGACGCCGCCUCAGCAGCGCAGUCACUGCCGCCAUCUCCGGAAACUCCACAGCACCACUCCUUUCCACCCAGAUGCCACGCGCCGUCGCUCACGGCAUCUCCGCCCGUGGCCUUGCCAUUCAAGGCGCCGCUCCGUCGCCGACUCCUUCCACACCCACCCCAUUCACUAACGCCAAGACCACCAUGGUCUCGGCCACUGCCUCUGGUAGCCAACAUGGCUGCCAUCUUCAUCCUCCAUCUCACCUCUCCGCCGUACCCCACUACCAAUCUCCUUCGGCCUCCAUGAUCCCCAUCUCCGCCGCUGAACCCAUCACCCUACCGGCGCCAACAUCUUUUCUUCUUUAUUUAUUUAUUUAUUUAUUCCAGUGCUGCUCAUAUAUUUUGAUAUGUAAAUAUUUAAUUUGUUAAUUAGAAAAUACAUGAGUAGCAGUCUUGGUAGAUGAAUGGAUGAAUUUUCUGCAUGAGUAGCAGAGAUUUAUCUACUUCUAUUCACACAAAACCACACUUUAUUUCUUUGGGCACAAAGCCACAAUUUCUAUGAGUACAAAUCACACCGGGUACUUGAUGUAGAAAGAAAGACUAAACAAACUCAAAAGGCAUUACAUAGUGCUGAAGAUGCAGGAGGUUCGAAACCAUGUGUUACGGUAGACUAGGUAGAGUUCCCCACAAACUAAAUCUUACCUUACUACUUUCUCUGUGAUAACAUCUGAGAAACAGUCUGCAUGGUUGGCCUGGAUUGCGGGUUGGCUUUUAAGCAUUCAAUUGCUUGCUUUAGGAUAGCUAUCACUUCCCCCUCAUCCUGGGGUGUGAGAGGUGGGAGUCGGGGGUCCAACAUGUCUUCCAACGCUAUGUUAUCCUUCUCUGGGGAAACUGAUAGAGACAAGAUCUGAUCUCCAGGAUGUCUUCCUUUGAUAACUUCCAGUGCUAUUACUCCAAAGCUAAAGACAUCAGUUUUUUCGGUCACCUUCAUUGUAUAAGCAAGCUCUGCAAAAUUAAAAGAUAAAUAUUAUAUCGUGGACAUGUUUCAUACCUUGUUUAAUUCAAGAGUGAACCGUACCUGGUGCAAGAUAUCCGAAUGUGCCUGCAAGUAUGCUCUGAUUCGAUGAGUCUAGCUUUAGAAGCUUGGCAGUGCCGAAGUCAGAAAUAUGAGCUUCAUACUGAGAAUCCAGCAGAAUAUUGUUGCUUGAUAC
rnacentral:lncRNA from 1 species